GAUGAACGCUGGCGGCGUGCUUAACACAUGCAAGUCGAACGGAAAGGCUCCUGCUUGCAGGGGUACUCGAGUGGCGAACGGGUGAGUAACACGUGGGUGAUCUGCCCUGCACUUCGGGAUAAGCCUGGGAAACUGGGUUUAAUACCGGAUAGGACCACAUUUUGGAUGGUGUGGUGGAAAGUUUUUCGGUGUGGGAUGAGCUCGCGGCCUAUCAGCUUGUUGGUGGGGUAAUGGCCUACCAAGGCGUCGACGGGUAGCCGGCCUGAGAGGGUGUACGGCCACAUUGGGACUGAGAUACGGCCCAGACUCCUACGGGAGGCAGCAGUGGGGAAUAUUGCACAAUGGGCGCAAGCCUGAUGCAGCGACGCCGCGUGGGGGAUGACGGCCUUCGGGUUGUAAACUCCUUUCGCUAGGGACGAAGUGCAAGUGACGGUACCUGGAGAAGAAGCACCGGCUAACUACGU
rnacentral:rRNA from 1 species